UGCGCAGGCGGACUUAUAAGUCAGUGGUGAAAUCUCGGCGCUUAACGCCGAAACUGCCUUUGAUACUAUAAGUCUUGAGUUUGGUAGAGAUCCGUGGAAUUCCGAGUGUAGCAGUGAAAUGUGUAGAUAUUCGGAAGAACACCAGCGGCGAAGGCAGCGGAUUGGGCCAAUACUGACGCUCAGGCACGAAAGCAUGGGGAUCAAACAGGAUUAGAUACCCUGGUAGUCCAUGCCCUAAACGAUGUACACUUGAUGUCGGUCUUUAACGGGUCGAUGUCGGAGCUAACGUGUUAAGUGUACCACCUGGGGAGUACGCUCGCAAGGGUGAA
rnacentral:rRNA from 1 species